rnacentral:rRNA from 1 species
AGUGAACGCUGGCGGUAGGCCUAACACAUGCAAGUCGAACGGCAGCACAGGAGAGCUUGCUCUCUGGGUGGCGAGUGGCGGACGGGUGAGGAAUACAUCGGAAUCUACUCUGUCGUGGGGGAUAACGUAGGGAAACUUACGCUAAUACCGCAUACGACCUACGGGUGAAAGCAGGGGAUCUUCGGACCUUGCGCGAUUGAAUGAGCCGAUGUCGGAUUAGCUAGUUGGCGGGGUAAAGGCCCACCAAGGCGACGAUCCGUAGCUGGUCUGAGAGGAUGAUCAGCCACACUGGAACUGAGACACGGUCCAGACUCCUACGGGAGGCAGCAGUGGGGAAUAUUGGACAAUGGGCGCAAGCCUGAUCCAGCCAUACCGCGUGGGUGAAGAAGGCCUUCGGGUUGUAAAGCCCUUUUGUUGGGAAAGAAAUCCAGCUGGUUAAUACCCGGUUGGGAUGACGGUACCCAAAGAAUAAGCACCGGCUAACUUCGUGCCAGCAGCCGCGGUAAUACGAAGGGUGCAAGCGUUACUCGGAAUUACUGGGCGUAAAGCGUGCGUAGGUGGUUAUUUAAGUCCGUUGUGAAAGCCCCUGGGCUCAACCUGGGAACUGCAGUGGAUACUGGAUGACUAGAAUGUGGUAGAGGGUAGCGGAAUUCCUGGUGUAGCAAUGAAAUGGCAUAUAGAUCAGGAGGAACAUCCAUGGCGAAGGCAGCUACCUGGACCAACUUUUGACACUGAGGGACCGAUAGGUU